GCGCUCAUUGGCUGCGCUCGGGGCGCGCGCGCAGCGCGCACGGCGGCCCCGCUCCGACGGCGAGAGCCCCGCGAGCCCCAACAUGUCUCGAGAGACUGGAAGUGAAACACAGCAGUCUCAGAGUGCCCAGCAGCCACAGAGUGGUACCAGUUCUUCUUCCAGUGGGUCACAGAGCACUAGUCAGUCUUCCUCAAGUUCUGGGACUCUGAGUUCCUUGGACACUGUUCCCACUCAGGAGCUUCCCUCCAUCCCUGAGGACCAGGAAUCUGAGGAGCUGGCUCCUCAGCCUUGGGGUCGACUCUUUGCACUUGGAAAAGGUUUCAGCAACUGUGACUGUGUGAAUGAGGAAUACUGGUUUGGGAGAGACAAAAGCUGUGAUUACAGUUUUUCUAAGCUGGGAUUGUCUGAGACUGGCUUCUACCAAAACUAUAGCAAGAAGCACUUCCGAAUUUUCAGGGAAAUGGGUCCAAAAAAUUCCUUUGUUGCCUACAUUGAAGACCACAGUGCCAAUGGGACAUUUGUUAAUAGAGAGCUCGUUGGAAAAGGGAGGAGGCUUCCACUGACACACAACUCUGAAAUUGCACUGUCUAUACAGACCAAUAAGGUGUUUGUAUUUUCUGAUCUUACCGUAGAUGAUCAGAUGAUGUUUCCUAAAGAAUUCAGAGAGAAAUACAUCAUGUCAAAGACUUUGGGAAGUGGUGCCUGUGGAGAAGUCAAACUGGCAUUUGAGAAGAGCACCUGUAACAAAGUUGCAGUGAAAAUCAUCAAUAAACGGAAGUUUGUGGCAAGUAGCCUGGGAGAGGCAAACCCAGCUUUAAACAUCAAUACAGAAAUAGAAAUUUUGAAGAAAAUAGAUCAUCCUUGCUUAAUCAAGAUUAAAAAUUUCUUUGAAGCAGAGGAUUACUACAUAGUUUUGGAACUGAUGGAAGGAGGAGAAUUGUAUGACAGAGUGUCAAGGCCAAUCAAGAUGAAAGAAGAUAUCUGCAAGUUGUACUUUUAUCAGAUGCUGCUGGCAGUAAAGUAUCUUCAUGACAAUGGAAUUAUACACCGAGAUCUAAAGCCAGAAAAUGUGCUACUUUCAUCUUCUGAAGAGACAUGUCUUAUAAAGAUUACAGAUUUUGGACAAUCCAAGAUUCUUGGAGAAGCUUCUCUUAUGAAAACAUUAUGUGGUACUCCCAUGUAUCUUGCUCCUGAGGUUCUAAAUUCACUUGGGACUGCUGGAUACAGCCGAGCUGUGGACUGCUGGAGUUUAGGAGUUAUUCUUUUUGUAUGCUUGUGUGGAUAUCCACCAUUCAAUGAGCAAAAUACUCAACUCUCUCUGAAAGAUCAAAUCACUCAUGGAAAAUACACAUUCAUCCCAAAAGAAUGGAAGCAUGUGUCAGACAUGGGUAUGACUCCAGCACAGUGGCGGGUCUACAGACUUUGCCUAAAGAUUCUUCAAGUGUUGAACCAAAACCACCAGGAGUUAGAAUUCCAAAAACAAACAUUCCAAGAGAGUCCUUCCAUGGUGCUAGUCUUGGGAAAGUGUCAGUCACAUUUGAGCUCUGGAUCUUGUGAAGAAGCUGUUAGUAGUGGAUCCAAGCAAACGUCUUACCACAGAGGAAGCCUUAGAGCAUCCUUGGCUUCAGAGAGACUGCAAAAGCAGCAUGGAGUAGUCUCCUGAAUACCUUCUUUCAGUACAAUAAGCAGCUUCUGCAUCCUUUCUGAGACACCUCUUCCCAAAACCCUUUCACAUGUGAGGAUCAAGAUGUGUUUUUUAGAGCCCAAGCCUGACUGUGGUUCUGGAUGAGGAUAUGAAAACUACAUUUCAACAGCUACUUGCUCAGACAUGUACCAAUAUGAAUCCACCAGAAACAUCAAAUAUG